rnacentral:rRNA from 1 species
AUUGAACGCUGGCGGCACGCCUUACACAUGCAAGUCGAACGGCAGCACGGGUGCUUGCACCUGGUGGCGAGUGGCGAACGGGUGGGUAAUAUAUCGGAACGUGCCCUAGAGUGGGGGAUAACGUAGCGAAAGUUACGCUAAUACCGCAUACGAUCUACGGAUGAACGUGGGGGAUCGCAAGACCUCAUGCUCCUGGCGCGGCCGAUAUCGGAUUAGCUAGUUGGUGGGGUAAAAGCCUACCAAGGCGACGAUCAGUAGCUGGUCUGAGAGGACGACCAGCCACACUGGGACUGAGACACGGCCCAGACUCCUACGGGAGGCAGCAGUGGGGAAUGUUGGACAAUGGGGGAAACCCUGAUCCAGCAAUGCCGCGUGUGUGAAGAAGGCCUUCGGGUUGUAAAGCACUUUUGUCAGGAACGAAACGGUGGGGGCUAAUAUCUCCUGCUAAUGACGGUACCUGAAGAAUAAGCACCGGCUAACUACGUGCCAGCCGCCGCCGUAA